GCGCUAUUUCAAUAUUUUCAGCGCGCUUUUGCCGGUUUUCGACUGAGCGAUCGACACCUUUCUGUGAUACUUUUUGGAAAGGGAUGAAAGAGUAUGACAAGUUUACCACCAUUUCUAACUCUGUGGAUACUCGUGGAGUUUGCUGGCUCUUCGGAUGAGGAUAUUUUAAUGAUCAAAGUGCGAACAAAACGCGAAAAUAGACCGAAAACUUGAAGUUUGAAAUUUGAUUUGCUGACGAUCAAGAUGUGCCCAUGAGACUACAAACCUUGAAGUCCCAUAGGAUACAAGGCUUAAAAAAGUGUUCCAGCUUCAGGAUUGAGUUGCACUUUCUACAACCUUCGGCGAAUUCGUUUUUUGGAGGUUGAGGGGGAAUCUCUAAGUCAUGGCUCACAACUGUCUUUGGCCUUUUUGCUCUCCAAGUUUGUUGUACUUGGUAUGUAGGCAUGUGUCUUAACAACGUUUAUAGUCUUGCCUCGAUCAUCUCCGGUUUUAUCUUAUUUUUUUGCUGUGUUUUGGGAGAUGUGAAGAGACCCCACUACAUAUGGUCGGUGCAAUUGACAGAAAAGAUAGGUGUGACAUUUGCUGUGGCAAGCUGGCAUUCAAGAGAAUGUAAUUAGUACCAGAAGCUUACUACUGGUAUAAAUUAUUGAUCUUUUGUUCUCUCCACACAACUUGCCUCAACUAGCUUAUGCUAUAUGCAACUUGUGUCUAUACCUUUUUUGCAACUAUAAAUUACCAAUAAAGUUUUUUGAAAGUUUUGUCUAAAUUUCAUGGGAAAAGAA